rnacentral:lncRNA from 1 species
GAGCGUCAAGGUGAUGGUAGCCGACCCUCCACGCCCCCUCUAGGGAUGGGAAGUGGCGGGCAGAGUACCUCCCCCGCGCAUGUCAGGUUGCUGAUCCACCCCUAAUUCCAUUAUACACUGCUACAUCUUAUCUGUCAUCUACUCACAACAUUGCAAGAUGUGGCAUGUCCUAAGACGAUGAGAUUACAAAGAUUGAGGUGACAGAAUCUAGCUGUGUCAUGGGCAAGCCGGUUGGCACCAUUGUGACAUGACAUCAGUCGUGUGCGUUAAAAUCACGAAUGACGGCGCUUGCUUUCAUAACCUAAUAUACUUCUCCCACAUGGAAAUUAUAUAAGUAUAGUUGUUUAUAACUGUAUGCACUGGACAUGUGUUCUCUCUCAGUAAUGUGCAUGUUUGCUCCAUUACUCAUUUACCCAUUCUGGUAAUUUUUUCUCUGAGUUUUAGUCCACAAACCAAUGUUUAGUCUCUGGAAGAAAGUCAAGGUAUUAUGACGUGUGUGUGUGUCUAUAUAUAAACAAAGAGAUAUAUAUGUCUCAUAUCCUAUAGAUUUUGGUCUGCCUUUUUCUUUGCUUACGGAGAUGCACCUGAUUAGUUUGUUUCACCUGUUUGAUAAAUAGUAUUUUUCACAAUAUAAUUUUAUUUCACGGUGUCUACUCAACAAAUUGCUUGUGAGUGUGUGUUUUCACAAAUGGUGCAGAAUAAACUCCCAACUAAAUCGUUGGAUAUGUAUAUAAUUUGCAGAGUUGCAAACACUUUCAAUUUCAACUGUGUGGUGAUCAAGACAUUCUGUGUUGCUUGGACAACCGAGCUAAGACGGCGAUGCCACCACCUACUUGUAUCUGUACAGGAACUCCGGUGAUUAUUUCUGUGAGUGCCUAAAUAUAUAUCCUCUGCUCUCCAAAUGGUAGUGUUUGAGGUUUUCAUUUCUCCCCCUUCCAGUUCUGCUGAGCACCUUCAAUUCCCCUUUCCCCAGCUCGAAGGAAUUGGCGCCUCCGUUAGUGACCCCGAGUAGUGAUGCAAUGAUGUAUUGUUUGAUCUUCUCCAAAGAUUUUCAAAUAGUUAUACUUUGAUUCAGAGCUCGUUGUGUUUUACUGUAUAUGCAGUUUGUUCUUAUGAAUUUCUCCGAGUAGGUAGAUCCUUUAGGGUUACUAACUUACUAUGAACAAAUGUUUUGUCUUGUUCGUGUAGUUUCCAAAAAUGAAGAAGCUUGUCGUUCAACCGAUGACAAAACACCUAGAGUACGUGCAAAAAUUACUACUUCCUCAUUUACAGCAAACUCAUUGAUACGACAAAGGCAAAAUUUUGGGUGGCAAGGUAUAUGAUUAGAUCAUGUGUAAUCUUCUAGAUGCAUUUUUCUAUUCUUCCAUUGUGUUCUUUAGACAUGCCUCUUUUUGUUAUUUUACAUCAGUUAACUGAAGUUCAUAUUAUUCCUUUAUCUGAUUGUAGCUUCAAAGUUUGAUUACAGCAGAGUCAUUGAUACAACAUACACAGUUUGUGAAUUUACCUACUACUACGAGUUACGUCAUAUAGCAAUGUUUUCUUGCCUAGAAAAAUAUUACAUGAAAGGCCUAAUGUCUUGUGAAUGUGUAUAGUAGCUACGAGUAGGUGGUCAAACUGUACACCUUUAAAGCAUGAAUAAGGUGCUAGCUUAUGUGCUGCAGUUGCUUUGCAUUGUUCAGAUGCAAUGUGUUUUCGCUCAGCGGGAGCACUUCUUCUGAUUAUUUAUAAUUUUUAGUUUGCUUCUUAUAAUUUUAAGACAAUUUUUGCGACUUGGAAUGUAUAGCAUCCCCCUUUUCUCACUGGAAAUGACAUGUAAGAACAAACCAGUUCCAGUUCUGGCAUAGUUCUGAUGGUUGAAGUGUAUGUCUAUAUGAUUUAGUAUAUGCAUGGGAGUACCCGCUAAACGAUGAAGCAUAUUGUGUCGUGUUAGCUCCAUCUAGCUUUAUUAUCUUGAAUUAUGUAUCUAGAUUUUGUAUGUUGUAUUCCCUUUCACCGCGUCUACAUACUUGAUGAAGCUUUUUUCUGAUUGCAAAGUAUGUGCAAGUCAGUAGUGAACACUCUAUAUCGUUGUUCUUGUUCCAGAAAAGCAAGAUUCAGCAAUUUCCGCAACAUUUCAUGUCCGUUCCAUGUAGUAGUUUUUGCGGAAUUAUAUUGAUGAUUUCCUUUUACCUUCAGAUUUGCUUAGUUUUCUUAGCAAACACAAAAUGCUUUGCGUCUUGAAGCAUUGAUAGAAGCGAACAUAAUUCAUGAUACAAGCCUAAUACUCUGAAAAUAUUUUUAUGGUUCACUAUUCCUAUGAGGGGAGUGAGUGGAGACAGCCAUGAGUGGCUCAACAUGUCGAGCAGCGGCCGCCUAUGAGGGGAGUGAGUGGAGACGCGCAAAUAUGUGUGGUGGAGGGGCAACGGAAGCUUGAACGGAAGAUUCGUCGCCAACAUCGAAGAAAUCUAUGGCCUGAUCGACCCUAAAGCUCCUGCAUGGACAUGAAGGUGUGUCAUUAUUAAGAAGUCCAGUCUUUGGAAACUCAGCAAGCUAGGAAAUUCUCUCUCGACAAUUUUGUAUGUACUUGGGAGCAUUGCUAAUUUCUGUCAACACGAAUGAUAUCUGGAUUAUUUAUAUAGCUACCAUGCGCUGAACAAAUUGUUGGAUUAAUGUAACACUCCUGAAUAGAUUGGUGUGUGGGCCAUGUCAUUUCGUUUGGUUUACACUACCAUAAUCAUUUUGUCAGUGUCUGAUCUAUUAAUACUUAUUUGAGAGAAAAUGCUUCCAAAAUGUUAUCUUGACAGCAACAUUGUAGCUAUUUUUCUCCGGCAUGUAUGAUAAGCAUAGGUGUCAAUUUUGGAUACAUGAUAGAUUGUUAGCUGUUUUGAUUCCAUAUUUUAACGACUAUUGAGAAUUAUGAUGGGCUUGUAUUAGAGGACUAGAUUGUUGCAAAUGGUUAUGGUGUGAAUCUGAUUCAUACUAAAGGGACUCUUGUGGUUGCAGGUGACCGGGGGCAGAUUGCCGACAUUUGCCACACUAUGGGCAAUCUAUGUGAUGAUCUGCUCUCCGCAAUCAAAGCCAGGAAUGAGCGGCAAGAUCUCUUCGGGAAUGGCUGAUGAGGAAGAAUUGACUGCGGGGGAAUGGUGGAUCUAGGUGGAGUUCGCUUUAGCCAGUGAGGGACGAGCUUUAGUUGUGUAGGGGAAGGGAAGCCACAUGCAUGAGUCAGACAUAAUAAAUCGGCUCGAAAAUGACUCUGUUAGUCCAGAAUCUCGUCUUAGACGACCCAUAUGGUGGUCUGACAUUCGAUCCGGUGUGAAAGUGCCUCACAUAGUCAUGUUUCAUGGACUUCAGAUGUGGGCCAUAUUCACUGUUCAAAAGAAGCAUACAUAGAUUAUUAGUGGCCUAUGUGUGUUGGGCUGUAAAUCCCGGGGCAACUUGAUGGGAGGGAUAACGAGCACACAUGUGCUCCAACACAUAAUAGAGUGCAUAUAACAUGGCUUUCUCACGACUUUAUGCCACUAAUAAGAAGUCCUUCCAUUUUAGAUCAUGAGUUGAUGAAAUUUAUUCCUCAAUAUAUAUGAUAAUUUAGGAUGUAACCAAAUCUCUCAUUUUUGACUUUAAACAAAUCGUACUACAUUCUUAGAUAAAUGUGCUUUGAAUAAACUAUUUUUUAUCAUAGACAUAUUUAAACAGUUGAUCAAGUCUUCGGUCAGCAUCACAUGUUCAUUCGAUGGAAUGUGACUAUGUCACAAUCUUGGUGCAAAAGUUUGCCUUGAAAACUAAUUGUAUAGACAGAUGUCACCCUGAAUUCUUAUCUCUCACACGGCGUUUGGUAUCCUUUU